AUAAUAAUUUGUCUCCUAAUUAGAGACUGGAAUGAAUGGAAUCACGAGAGUUUUUCUGUUUCUUUUUUAUAAAUAUAAACUGACCUCUAAGUGAAGAGACUUAGAUUUUAUAAAAAGACAAAAAGACCCUAUUGAGCUUGAUUUUAUAAUAUGUUUUCAUAUUAAAGAUUUUGUUGGGGCAACAAGAGAAUAUCUUUAUCUUCUCUUUAUUAAUACAGAUCCGUCUUACGAUCAAAAAAUAAAGCUACCAUAGGGAUAACAGGCUAAUUCCUUUUGAGAGACCACAUUGACAAAGGAGAUUGGCACCUCGAUGU
rnacentral:rRNA from 1 species